UCGGCACCAAGCCAGAUCUGGCCUAGAGCA
rnacentral:piRNA from 1 species